rnacentral:lncRNA from 1 species
UUGUCUAUCAAAUUGGCCUGGGCUCCUAGUCCAGAGUUGUCAAUCUGUUUAACAAGAAGCAGGUUAAACUUGUGCCAUUAAUUGUAGUUGCCGAGGUGAAUUUUUAUCAAAUAGACAAAAAAAUAUGUAUAAUGUAAAGUGUGAAUAAUUGGACUUUGAUAAAAAAAAAUUAUUUGAGUGAAGAAAAAAAAAUAGUCAAAGGAACAAGAUGGGACUUCUGCUCGCAGUUGCAGUUUUUUUUGUUUCGGUGCCUCUUGGAGUAACUUGGAACUUCCCAAGUUUCUUGUUCCAUAAUCAUAUCAUUGUACUAGAAAUUACAUUUGUCUAAAUAGUAGGAUAAAGAUAACCA